GUGGAUUAGAUACCCUGGUAGUCCACGCCGUAAACGAUGGAUACUAGCUGUUGGGCGCAAGUUCAGUGGCUAAGCGAAAGUGAUAAGUAUCCCACCUGGGGAGUACGAACGCAAGUUUGAAACUCAAAGGAAUUGACGGGGGCCCGCACAAGCGGUGGAGCAUGUGGUUUAAUUCGAUGAUACGCGAGGAACCUUACCAAGGCUUAAAUGUAGAUUGACCGGUUUGGAAACAGAUCUUUCGCAAGACAAUUUACAAGGUGCUGCACGGCCGUCGCCAACU
rnacentral:rRNA from 1 species